UCUUGAUUGGACGUCUGUCUGCGGUAUGAGCUAUUCCUAGUUUUUGCCCAAUUUGAUGCCACCGUGUUGAUGUGUCUAAACCAAUCUUGCUGCUAGUUAGGUGCCACUCGCAAAUCUAUACAAAGUGCAAUCGCGUCACUUGGUCGAAAAAUUCCGUGUAAAAGCGCUUUUUCACCACAAUGUCGGAAAAUUCAUUCAUCGGUUCUUAUUGCAUUUACUGUUGGCAGGACAUUGCAGUGGUAGGAAUGAUUCGAAAAGCCCACACAUCUACAUUACUACUUCAUAACACGUAUCAACUAUUUGGCUUUGGGGUUCCCAGUGGUUCUGCAGUAACCAAAUAGGACAACGAAGAGUUACAAGGCUUCUUUCUUUUAGGUCAGCUGCGGAAAAAACACCCAAAGACUUUCCGGACUCGUCCAUUAGUUCAUACGAACUGGUCCCCACCCUAGCUUUGACGGUGCACGGAACAUAACAAGGACCCAGCUUGGCGUUAUAUUUUCCUACGGCCGAAGAUUGACGAAAAUUUCGUUUAAGGACUUCUUGACCAGCGACGUAUUCUUCCCCGGAGCUGAUAAUCUCAUGACCAAACAGGAUUUUAUAUGGUGU